CUGGAACUGUCCUUGUGGUUUGGCAUCAAGAUGGUGAGGGCUCAUUAAACUAGCUCACAGGCUCUCAACAUCUUCACGUAUCCAUCCAAUCACCCUGACCCACCCGGGAGACAAGCUGCCCCACUGCAGGUUCCAGGAACACCAAGUCAACCCCAGGAGGUGCCCAGGGGCAACGAGGAUGGAGAACAGAAUAGGGACCCAAGAACAGCACCAUCAGAACAAGGUCCAGGAGACCACCAYGCCCCUCGGCAUGGGCUGGAGCCUGGCCGCAGUGGGCAGGGAGACUUGCUUCCACACCACCCUUUCUGACAGCGAUGGAUGGACUGAAAAGAGGAGCCAGAGACUCCACGGCUGAGCCUCCAUGGAAUUCCCCAGUUAAGAAAGAGGCUCUGGGACGUUCGCAAGCACCACGGGUUGGAGAGCAGGUGCUGGUUCUGAGGCCUGUUCUGGGGCGAAUCCCAUGGAGACAUUCCU